AAUACUGUGAGAAACAUGAGGUAAACUGAGCCACAGGGAGGACUGCAAUGUCAACCUCACCUAGAUGUCUACAAUACCUUACUCCAAAAAGAUUCUCACGGUGACAGAGCUUAAGAUCUGGUCCGUUGACUUGAGUAAUUUGGACUUCAGUUGCACAUAUCAAAGCAAUUUACAAGCAAGCAUUCAUUAAUAAGGCACAACUGAACAGUGAAUCCAUUUUUUUUUCAGACUUCAGAUCGUCUUUGUAGAGCUUUUCUAAUUUUAUGUAUUAGUUUCAAAUAUGUCUGCCAGACACGGUAACAGCCUCACUGACGCCAUAAAAGGUAAGAACAUUUUCUUCUUCCUACUAGUACGCUGACUUCUCCCAUUUUUGAUCAUAUUUGGAAUGUUUCUCAAGUGUCUUUUUAAAUCAAAGGACACCUUUCCAAAAAGGGGAUCUUUUAAGAAAGCAUACCAUUUUUGGGUGACAAUUUCCUAUUUAUCUUUUAGACUGAGCUUGUCCUGAGUGCAUUCAUUGACUUCAUUAUGUGUUUUUUUUUUAAAUAAUAUCUCAGCUAAGCCAAAAAAAUCUUCUUGAUCCGACCCCUCUGCAGAUAUUAUCCUACUCUGCAGCAUUGUUUAAGUCUUAAAAAAUAAGGUCCUAAGCCUGUAAAGGACCAUAGAGACUGUGUUACUUUCUUCUUAAGCGGCUGGUAAAACCUUUCUGCAACUUGAGACUCUCGUGAGUUACAGAAAGAAAAAUGUAAGCAUUUGUUUCAGACCUUUAUUGAACAUAUAGGGGUCAUCCACAUGAGACAGCAAUGGAUGACACCCAA
rnacentral:lncRNA from 1 species